rnacentral:rRNA from 1 species
GUGUCAGCAGCCGCGGUAAUACGUAGGGGGCGAGCGUUGUCCGGAGUUACUGGGCGUAAAGGGCACGCAGGCGGUUGUGUCAGUUUGCGGGGACAGUGGGCGGCUUAACUGCCCAAGGGUCGCAAAGACGGCACGACUGGAGAGCGAGAGAGGGACCUGGAACUCCGGGUGGAGCGGUGAAAUGCGUAGAGAUCCGGAAGAACACCACUGGCGAAGGCAAGGUCCUGGCUCGUAUCUGACGCUGAGGUGCGAAAGCUAGGGGAGCGAACGGGAUUAGAUACCCCGGUAGUCC